GAGGCUCAGGCGCGUCAGUGUGAAUGGUGGCGCCGUCGCGAGCGGACCCGGGGCCGAGAUGAGGCAGCGCGACCCGCACCAGAGCACAUGCGCUCACGGCGACUACACUCGGCCGCGUGAAAGUUUGAAAGUGAAACAGUGUGUGUCACGUCACGUUGGUGCAGAUGCGCGCCUCGUAAAAGUUGGCAGAGCUUAAAAAGAAAAAACAGAGAAAAGCGCGUGCAAACUGUUCACCUGGCGACAGUGAUGCGGGUGACAGAAGCAACUGAGUGGGCAGCUUUUACAUCACACGCUGCUGAAUUUAGCUCCAGUCAUCUCGCUGUGACAUCCGACAUCCCUGCUGCCUCCCGCUGAGCCCCGGUCCUCGUUAUUGGCCAGUUUUGAGCCUUCCUGAUGAAGAGGAGGAUGAAGACUGACGCUCCGAUGCAGCCGAGAGAAAAGUCAAAGGAAAAACCUCCUUAAAACGAGUGAGUCACCAAGUGAAUCCAGUGUUAAAGGGAUGGAGAACGCUGCACCGCAGGACUGUGAGGCUGGUUUCCACCACAGCGGCCCAUCCUGGCGGCGGCGGGGAAACCACCCGGGCCCCGCUCAUCUGCUGAACGCUUGCUGAGACAGUCUGGGAUCGUGACACGAUCAUCAUGGGACGAAGGCCGACGACCGCAGGCAGCGGCUGAAGAGGCGGCGCUUUUGUUUGGUUUCCAGCCAGCGCUGGGGAAUCGUUCGCUUUAAUGCUGAAAGGAGGAACGACUUCCGGAGGGUCGACGGGUCACUAAGGGUUUCUUCUAUUGACGGUGAAACACCUACUGGGAGUUAAUUGUCCAGGUGCUGAGGUUUUGCAGCUCGCCACGCUGCCCUUCCUGCUUGUGGGCUGUUUUGAACCCAAUCUCUCCACACCCAGUGAAGUCAUGCCGUCGAAAUCUGACUGGCGGCGACCACAGCUAAAAACAUCCGCGUGGAGGCUUCAUGUGGAGACGACCCGAGAAAAGCGGCUCGCGACGCGGCGCUUCCGCACGCGUCCCCGCGCGCACGCGUCCCCGCGCGCACGCUCCACGUACUGUACAGCCACAGAGCGGGUGCUCCGUGACGGGGCAUCGGCCCGAAUGGAUGAAUUUGUUCCUCCUCCGUUUGUUGUAAAUGAAGCAACUUUGCCAGAAUCACAAUUAAACGAAUGCUGUUAAACCUGGAUGUGAUGUUAUUGUAUGAUGGAGCGAUGCAGGUGAUGGUCAGAUUGUGACUCCAGUACUUUAUUUAAAUCUGUCAGCACUGCUCAUUAUUUCAUCAUUUUCUUUCUAUAAACUACAAUUAUUUUAACAAAUUUUCAAGCACUAGAGCAAAAAGCCAAACAUUUGUUUGUCUUGAUUAUGUCUGUAAAAACGAUACAAUGCAGGUGCUCAAUGAUUCUGGAGUUUUCCUAUUUUCUAAUACGUCUACUACUGUAGUAUUUCGCCCACAUUUACUAACUUAACUUCCAAAUGUGGAAUCUACAAUAUAAACAACAAAAUGUACAGUAAUGAUAGAAAACGGAAGACGAACGUGUGUCUGCGUGAACUACAGAAAGGAGCAAAGAGGGAACAGGAAAGAGCGUGUGAAGCGAACGGGGGGGGGUGUUUGUCCAGUGCUUCUCACUUUGACUGUGGACCGAGAGAAGUGAGUCCUGACUAAGAAAACAUGCCAAAAAAACGCAGAGGAAGUCGUGUGCGUUGCUGCUCGGGACCGCAGCGUUUGGAACACGCUGACGCCUGCACGUGUCUGAGCACCGCGGCGUAAACACGUCUUCAGCCGAGGGUUGGAGGUCGCGCGUCGUGACGCUUCCUAGCCACUCCCUAGUUUCACAUUAACGUCUGUCAAGCUCAAGGCUCAGCUUUGGAAGUUUGAUUAUUAGGCUCAUUAUUUAUUAAUGCUCCGUUUCUUUCCAAGCUCUUACAGCGUGUGCAGUAGAAGGCUGGUGCAGUUCUCGGCGCUCUUGCUUUUGAAAUGCAUCCUUAUCUUUUUAAGUGGAAGCCCAGAGGAAGGAGGAGAGCCCGUUUUCUGUGCAGAGGUGAAACGAGGUCAUCGCAUCCAGAGUUCAAGAGUCGAGUCGCACUGAAAACUGAGAAAAGGAAAAAAGACGAGGCUCGUUACAGUUGGUGCAUAUUAGUUAAAGUAGGUUUCACUUACUGUGAUCUGACUGUUGUGAGAGAGUACAUAUUUCACAUUUUACCACAUUCAGUGAUCUCAUAACCUACAACUAAACACAUGGAACUUUUAUUUUAAAUUAAAAAGCGGAUAUAAUGCAUUAGUGUCCGGCCUCCAGCAGUGGAAUGACCACGUUUUUUUCGCCUUUGCUUCACAGUAGAGUGGCGCAAUUUGACAUGCGGUCACAGAGUCUGUGACGAGACAACACUUCGAGGAAAUUAUGCAUUUUGGACUUUUUUGAAUAUAUUCUAUUUGGCCUAAAACAACACAGAUUUGAAGAAGUGCAUUUGAGUGAACAGAAGCGUUUGACAUUAGACACGGCCCCCUGCUGUGUGGCGCCUGUGCUGCACAGGUGAGCUCAUCGUACCGGUUCCCUUGCAGCCGUGACUCACCGUGGUUUGGCUGCAGACGUCACGCAGUGAAGCGCGUGUAAACAGAUCACGGCGUGCCUCACGUGUCCUCUGGCACCUGAACGUGUUCUCUGGGCUCGGUGUUUUGACUCGCGCCUGCCGUCGUCUCCUCUCGGCUGAACGUCCCUGAACGCGGAGCCGCCCCGAGCGCCAUGAGGUUCGCACGGCGCGGAUUCAGCGUCGCUCAGUGCCAGCGCUCGGUUUGUUUUGGUUCAAAGGUCGCGUGCUGUGAAUCAUGGGGCCUUUAAACUGGUGUGACGAGUCAGGAUUAGCAUCAAGCCGAGCGACUGUUGAACCAGGAAGCACAAAACGCUUUGACUCUAAGGAUUAGGGUCAUAAAUGUGAACGAGGACCCAAAGUAAGAUUUAUAAGAAGGAUAAACAAGUGUAAACGGACUAAUCCACAGGCAUCAAACAAUGAAACCAACCUGUCACUGUCCAGAGUUUUGCUUCUUAUAUGUUUAUUUACUGUCGUUUCCAGUAAAGAGCCUGAUUCAAGUGUAAACUGGACUCUGACCUGUUCCAGUGUAUCAGCGUUUGCUGACUAAUCGUUUCCUUUAUUCGCAGAGUCACUAUGUAACCGGGCCGAUCAGCUGCUUGUUGUUUUUAUUAUUAUUUCGUACACAAAACCAUCGCCCUGUCAAAUCAAUUACAAGUUGUUGUCCAUGUCACAACAGUGCUGUUUGUUGUUGUGAUCCAGCCAGUUUAGCUUUUUAGCGGAGCCGAGCCUUGUUUGUCACGUUAUAAUUAGCGGAGCAGACGGAUGUUCGUUACAUCACAGCCUGCUACAUUAAACGUGGUUAAACACCAGACACAGCUCGACUCUGGAUCAAGAGGACUCGCUAGAAACGUGUUGACGGUAGUCAUGAGCAAUUAUGUGAUUUCUCAUAUAUAAUAAAUCAUUUCAUUUUGUUUUGACUGUCUUUUUCAUCACAUUUACUUCGGGACACGAUAACUUUGAGUUUAUGGUUCACUGGACGAUACAAACUAAAGCAAGCACAGCAAUUAUAACGCCGCAGGGCUCAGUGCGCUCUGACUUAGAAUAUGCCCGGACAUGUCUGAGACACACACACACACACACACACACACACACACACACACACACACGCUGCGGUUACAUCCAUCUGCUCAGAUACAGUAGACUUCCCGUCCCUCACACUGACACUGUGGACUGUAAUAGUUGAACAGCCUUUUCUCCAACAGCUACUGUAAUGCACCAUAGCAGGAAAAAUUCUAAUCACAUAAAGAUUCUCUUCAUUCACUUCAAUUUAAACUUGAUUUCCUUACUCUCUGUUUAGAUAUUGUGAAUCAAUUAUCCAGGGUUUCUGCUAGAAUUAUUUUUUUAAUGAGACGAGUGGCUGUAGAUUGCGUUUCCUAUUGUGACUUCUCAAGGAAGUCUGCUGCUCAGUUACAGCUGCUCAGAUAAUAUGGAUGUUCAUGUUAAGGAGUCCUGUUUAUACUGUUAAUCACAGAUAAAUAAACAGAACCAAAACUGCACAUGACGUACGACGUAUGACUUGCAUGUUCUAAGGGUCUGGGUCUAAGUGAAUAGACAAGACACAGUCUGACGUUCUGGUUAACAACCAAAAUGAGAUGUGAAUCAAACAACUGUGAUCUGAUGUCAUUUCUCAUUUCUCUAGAGUUCUGCACUUACUGUGCAUCCAGCUUCUCAUUUUAUUUAAGGUAGUUGUUCACCAGUGGUUCUGAAUAUAAUGAAAGCAGUAAAUGUGAUAAAAAUAUAUUGUUGGAAUUUUCAUUAAUUAUUUCCCGAUUCGGACUUAGUUUACAGAACAGAGUGUGUGAUUUUACUAUGAACCAUAAAACUUAAUGUACAGUACCUGCUCAUUAUGAAAAGAAUAUCUGUCAUAAUAUAUUAUGCAAUUAUGAACACAGAAACACAUGCCACACAGAAACCAUUACACCGUGUUUGCUACGGAUCAUUGUUAUUAAGACACUUCUUUUUAAAACCCGUUUGUCAGGAUUAAUGGCUUAAGGUGAAAACGCAGCUUCAGCUACAGACGUAACACACUUUUAUUCCUUAAAACGACUUUCUUCCAUCUACGGUCACAGUUCACACACAUUAUAAUUAAAUAUACAAUAAGCUGCCAACAACACAUGUAACUGCACAGCGCUCAUGUAAAAAGGAAGUGCCUGGAAAUAGAGAACCGGAGUUAAAAGUGGAACAUAUUUGUGUUAGUAUUUACUUUCCUGCAGAACUGAAGCUGUGAGCAACCCUGGGAAGGCAAAAGGCACAGAAGUGCCUUGCUCAAAGACACGCAGGGGUUUUUACUGAAAGUUUGAAUGAAGCUUUGCAAACAAUACUUACGCUAAAAACAGACUCCAGCUUUUCUGUGUUAGAAUGAUUUGAGUUUGAAGGGUUUUUUAGAAAUGUGUUCAUUUGAGUAAACAAGUUAUUAAGUAAAAAAAAUCACUGAGCUGUUUUAGUCACUGAGGCUCAGAUCAAAACAUGUGUGCAACAAUGUUGUGAUGAUGUUUUAUAGCGGUUUUGGCACAAACCGACUUGUUUUGCGUCAUGGCAGGUUUAGUGAAUGAGCCUCAGAUGAAAACGUCUACAAACGACAACAGGCAGCUACAAAGAGAUGCAAAACCAGGAGAAAGGGAAACACAGCGACCAUGAAACGCAGCAGCGCGGCUACAAAGGAGCAGCAGUGAAUGAAAACACCCAGAGACUACGAGAGCAAACGGAUUCAAAAAACUAUAAAAAUAUAUGAUUGUGGUCGGUGUUGGUUCCCACUGAAGCAGGAUGGAGGCCGCACAAACCCUCCGUACACCCAGAACGCAGUAAAACUGAUGAUGAGGAGCUCGCUGCCUUUUACAAGGGUCUCCUGCGUCUUCUCACCUCACGUCUGAACACGUUCUACUCAGCUCGCGGUGGCGCAGGACACAAAGGGCGCGUUGAGGCGGAGGAGCAGCCGCCGGCGCAGCACGCGGGGAAAACGGUUCUGGACCGGAGUUCACCUCCACUUUCACCGGCGAACGCGGGCGUCGAGCGGGAGGCCGGACACAAAAGCACUUGUUUCGCUAAUUCGGUGGAAAGUGGGUCACAUCUCGCCCUGGCAUGUGUGAAACCACGUGCACAUGCAUGGUUGUGACAGCAUGUGCUAUUUUGAAAGUAGCUGAGUAGGUAACAUGUGCAACAGUAAAUGUUUUACACAAAGGUAAGAAUGACGCGCGAUCAUUUGCCAAAACAUUCAAUUAUCUGGAUUCAUAAAACGGUCCUUUGCCACCACUGUGAUGUAGUCAGUGCUGGUGUUUUACACUAAUGGGAGGAUAUGACUUCAACCUCCUCCAUGUGGGUUCAGAGCGGCCUUAGACUAAAAUGGAGAAGCUGUUUGUGGAGCGAAGGCGACUGCACCGUUGAGCUGCUGUAGAAAAGAGGAAACGGCGAACGUCUUGGACAACGGGCGCUGAUGUGGAAAUACAACUGACGCAUGAUAUCACCGACGGCCGUAUGUCGCUCUGCUCAGUGGUCAACGUUGUCAUUCAAAGCGUGUCUGUGGGUUCAAACACAACACGUUUACAACACUUAUUAAUACAUUUGUUUUAGGGAUGUUGCUCCAUCGCUGCCUGUGUGCUUUUGAUUAGUUUAGAGAUCUUUCUAAUGGUUUAUUUGCUUUAAUACUUUCUAAGACUAUUGCCCAACAAUAAACCAACAAAAAAGCAGAAGGUAAAACAAAUGUACUGAUGUACUAAUUAUUCUGAGAACUGAAUUAUAAUAUGAUCCUAAAAAUGAGCAGCAACGUGACACACAACAAACCGCCUCAUACAACUGAUGCUGCUGAGAAUCAAAGUUACAAAUGACCAAUAAUUACCUGGAUAAUUGCUACGUGUUUGCUCACGCAUCACCUCUCUGUUAGCUUCUGAGCAAUUUGCAUGUGUCAGGUCAGAACAGCGUGGAGCGGCGUGUGAUAGCUGUCUGGGAAAAGAGUGAAACGCUGGCCUCAGCCUGUAACUCAUCAGAUAUUACUGAAUUAGGUUGUUUGAAAGAUAAAGAUUGUACGAAGGUUUGAGUUGUUAAAUAGAUCAUACGUUUGAUGCAUUCAAGUUCAAACACUUUAAAAGUUUAGGUUUGGAAAUCUGACACAAACACAUAAAAUGAUUAUUUGAAACAUCACAAGAGAUUUUUUUUAAUUUUAGGUCAAUUUCAUUGAACUCAGAUCAAAAGUGAUGCAACUAACUGGCACAAAUAUUAAAAAUCCAUUAUUGUAUAAAACCUGAAAAAUAAAGUGAAUCUGAGGAGACUCAAACAAGCUGUAACUCAUCACUCUCCAAAGUGUUGUUUAAGUGUUAUCUUCAUCUCUGUCUGUUAAACAUGAUCCACUUGUUUAAAUAAUGAAUGAAUCAUUGUAGGACGUUGUCUACCCACCAUGAAAAUAUGUCUACAAGCGCUCAGCUAUGUUUAUAUCCCUCUACAAAAAUAGCCCAGACAUCACCUGGUCAUAUUGACCAAUCAGCAUCAGCCUAGAAUAAAGGGGCGGGAACUGUGAACAGUGAGUCACCAGGCAACAAAGGUACAAAGUGAACCCCUGGUUUUAAGUUUUUCCAAGUUUCUGUCUCAUUUUGUUUAUGUUCAACUGUUAAAGCCAUAACUCAUGUUCAGAAGCGGAUAAAUCAGGUUUAUUAGGCCUAAUAAAACAUUCUCGCUGACCUCUGGGAAUAACCUGUUAUUAACCACAACACGUUUAUCCUCCACAGCGGGUUUCAAGUCGAUUCCAGCCUAACUGUUUGAGCGAUAACAGCAGCUAAGAGGAAAAAUGGUUUUAUCAGUUCCUACCCAACAGUCGCACACAAGACACACGCAGCUAUCAGAGCCGCGAUCGGGGCUGUAGAAACUCCUGCAUUGUGUUCUGAUAAGAGUGACGUGGGGCUUCUGUGAGUCUUAUCUGGACACGAGUGCAAAUGAGGCCCAUAAAUACUGUAUAGGAGAUAUCCGUAUUGGACACAACCAGAUCAGAUGUACAAUAUAUGCUGGACAGUGUUAUAUGCAUGACUGUGUGUUGCACUGAUAUAAAUCCAUCUGUAAUUUAUAAGUAUAUGAGUGUACAGUAGUUUUCUACAUGUGAUUAAUAAAGAUUAAAGCACUCGUUUCAUGGA